rnacentral:rRNA from 1 species
UUAGUGGCGGACGGGUGAGUAACGCGUGGAAAACCUGCCGUAUACUGGGGGAGUAACACUUAGAAAUAGGUGCUAAUACCGCAUAAGCGCACAGCUUCGCAUGAAGCGGUGUGAAAAACUCUGGUGGUAUACGAUGGUUCCGCGUCUGAUUAGCUAGUUGGUGGGGUAAUGGCCUACCAAGGCAACGAUCAGUAGCCGGCCUGAGACGGGUGAACGGCCACAUUGGGACUGAGACACGGCCCAAACUCCUACGGAAGGCAGCAG